AGCUCCAAUAGCGUAUAUUAAAGUUGUUGCAGUUAAAAUGUUCGUAGUUUGCCGUUCUCCUUUGAGUCUACAUAGUGCUAUUGCACGUGUUGAUUAAGGGUUUGUAAAGGUUAUCCCUCUAAGGAGGUUGCUUUUACUGUUACUUUGAGUUAAUCGUAGUGCUCCGCACAAACCACAGUUUUAUACGAUCUACCAUGGAAUAACCAUAAUAUAAGUGUCACUUGGUUUCAUUAACGCAUUUUAUACAAACAUGAGCGGCUGAGGGCAUUUAUAUUCAACUGUUAGAGGUGAAAUUCUUUGAUUAGUUGAGGAUACACUAGUGUGAAAGCAUUUGCCAAAGACGUAUCAGUUA
rnacentral:rRNA from 1 species